rnacentral:rRNA from 1 species
AACGAACGCUGGCGGCGUGCCUAACACAUGCAAGUCGUGCGAGAAAGUUCCUUCGGGAGCGAGUAAAGCGGCGCACGGGUGAGUAACACGUAGGUAACCUGCCCCCCAGUCUGGAACAACUAGAGGAAACUCUAGCUAAUGCCGGAUGAGACCACGAUCCCUUCGGGGGUUGCGGCCAAAAGAUGGCCUCUACUUGUAAGCUAUCGCUGAGGGAUGGGCCUGCGGGCCAUUAGCUUGUUGGUGAGGUAACGGCUCACCAAGGCUGUGAUGGCUAGCUGGUCUGAGAGGAUGACCAGCCACACUGGGACUGAGACACGGCCAGACUCCUACGGGAGCAGCAGUGGG